rnacentral:rRNA from 1 species
UCUAAGACCUGGCGGCAGCUUACACAUGCAAGUCCAACGGUAGCAGGAGAAAGCUUGCUUUCUUGCUGACGAGUGGCGGACGGGUGAGUAAUGCUUGGGAAUCUGGCUUAUGGAGGGGGAUAACUACUGGAAACGGUAGCUAAUACCGCAUAAUGUCUACGGACUAAAGGGUGGGACCAUUUGGCCACCCGCCAUAAGACGAGCCCAAGUGGGAUUAGGUAGUUGGUGAGGUAAAGGCUCACCAAGCCCGCGAUCUCUAGCUGGUCUGAGAGGAUGACCAGCCACACUGGAACUGAGACACGGUCCAGACUCCUACGGGAGGCAGCAGUGGGGAAUAUUGCACAAUGGGGGGAACCCUGAUGCAGCCAUGCCGCGUGAAUGAAGAAGGCCUUCGGGUUGUAAAGUUCUUUCGGUGACGAGGAAGGCGAUUGUUUUAAUAGAACAGUCGAUUGACGUUAAUCACAGAAGAAGCACCGGCUAACUCCGUGCCAGCAGCCGCGGUAAU